GUAGUGUAGGCGUCCACACGGUGCACGAUUCUGCCCCUCCACGCCCGCCCCUACCUCUGUGACCCCCUUCCCUCGCCCCCCGACCGAGAUCCCCGCCGGCAAAUCCGACCGCCAUCCUCCUCCUCCGCCUCCCUUCCAUCCUAGCCCGCCUCUUCCAUACUCCUCCCCGCAUCCCUUCCAUCCUCGUCUGUACUCCUCCCCGCGUCCACAGUGGAUACCGUGAGCUCGCCCCCGCCUCCAUGGCUCCAUCCUCCGCUCGCGAUUCCCCCGUGCCCGUUGCGCCUGCCUCCUCCCGCCCCGUCCUCCGCACCUGCCCCCUACCCUAGACCUCGCGCUCGCCGCUGUCACCAUCAAGGCGCUAUGAUGCUACCCCCGGUCGAGAUAGCCUCUCGAGCAUCGAGGUGGUGGUCGAAUCGAUGGAGGUUGUGCCCCCACCGCUCGUCUCCUGCUCGCCUCCUCGCCUAGCUGCAUCCGUCCCUCGCCCAACCACUUCUCCUCUCUUGUCUUGCUCGUCACGGAUGUCGUCCUCGUCGUGGCGCACGCGAUUGCUGUAGCAGCUGUCGAACAGUCUCGGUUCCUCAUCCCUGGCCGGGUUUCAUUUGGAUUGCGCAGCAGCAACAUGGCAACUACGUCAUCGCGAGGCGACAUCUCCACCGCGAAAAACACUGCAAGCCAUCCACGAUCUCGAGCUGACGAACAAAGCGAUUUACUGGAGCUGACGACGGAAGCAGCACAAGGAAUAGGAACGAUGCGGGUUCACCAGAGCGGACGACAGAGACAACAGGAGGCAGAAGAACCAGGUGUGAAGAACCAAGACAGAGGGGAGGUGGGAAAGAGGAAUGGAGUGACAAGAACGAGGAUGGAGAGCGUCGGCUGCAAACCCGUAGAGGCGAAGAGAACGAGAGUCGUCCCCACAAAGGCAAACAUCAGCUAGAACAAUCCUGAGAUAGAUGGUCGUGGAGCAAUGUAAGAUGUCCAUGAAUGAUCGUACGUGUGUUAAUAAUUCGGCAGACAUGGAUAGCUUCUUAGGCGGCAUUUCCGUUCCGCUUUAAUAAUAAGGAAAAGGAAAUGUAUGGUACUAUAAUGUAGAAGGUGUGGUGUUUGCUUUCUCUAUGUCUGUCGUA